UUCCUCCCUCUCCUCCUUCCCCUUUUCCUCUUUCUUAGAACGAUGGUUAAGAAACUGCAUUUAUCUUUGCAGAAAACUGAAAUUCUCAGCUCUGUUCCAAAAGAAAAAAAAAAAGGAAAGAAAACACAUUUCACAGCAGACUCUUCCUUCUUCAUCACAUAUGAAAGGCCAAGGUUCAACGCUCUGAUCUUCCCUGAAUCAUUAAUUUCUCUGUACUUCAGGUUGCAUUUCUUGCAGCCUUCUUUCUUUCUUGCCUACCAACAUUUCACGUGGUUCAAGCCAAGGCUUUGCCAAACCAAGCUGAACCACAUUAAACUGUGGCUGGAGUCGUGCAGCCUCUUUAAGGUGCCAUUUAAUGCAGCGCUCCGAAAGUCUCUGAUAGGGCUAAGCUCACAGGAAGCAAGAGGUGUGUUUUUGUGGAGGUGGCCUCUGAGUUCCCAUUGGGUGCACCACUGCACAUCGAGCUGGGAAAAACUUCUGCAGCAGGAGCACCACAUCAUGUUACGUGGCAGCUUUGUAACAAGAGGAAAAUUAUUUCCUCUGGUACUGUACUUGCUGUUGAACUAG
rnacentral:lncRNA from 1 species